rnacentral:rRNA from 1 species
GGACGGGUGAGUAAUGUAUAGUUAAUUUGCCCCUUAGAGAGGGAUAACAGUUGGAAACGACUGCUAAUACCUCAUACUCCUUCUACCUUAAUGGUAGUUGGGAAAUGUUUUUUCGCUAAGGGAUGAGACUAUAUGGUAUCAGGUAGUUGGUGGGGUAAGAGCCUACCAAGCCUAUGACGCCUAGCUGGUCUGAGAGGAUGAUCAGCCACACUGGAACUGAGACACGGUCCAGACUCCUACGGGAGGCAGCAGUGGGGAAUAUUGCACAAUGGAGGAAACUCUGAUGCAGCAACGCCGCGUGAAGGAUGACGCAUUUCGGUGUGUAAACUCCUUUUAUAUGGGAAGAUAAUGACGGUACCAUCUGAAUA